UGGGGAAUUUUGGACAAUGGGCGAAAGCCUGAUCCAGCAAUGCCGCGUGUGUGAAGAAGGCCUUCGGGUUGUAAAGCACUUUUGUCCGGAAAGAAAUCCUUGGCUCUAAUACAGCCGGGGGAUGACGGUACCGGAAGAAUAAGCACCGGCUAACUACGUGCCAGCAGCCGCGGUAAUACGUAGGGUGCAAGCGUUAAUCGGAAUUACUGGGCGUAAAGCGUGCGCAGGCGGUUUGCUAAGACCGAUGUGAAAUCCCCGGGCUCAACCUGGGAACUGCAUUGGUGACUGGCAGGCUAGAGUAUGGCAGAGGGGGGUAGAAUUCCACGUGUAGCAGUGAAAUGCGUAGAGAUGUGGAGGAAUACCGAUGGCGAAGGCAGCCCCCUGGGCCAAUACUGACGCUCAUGCACGAAAGCGUGGGGAGCAAACAGGAUUAGAUACCCUGGUAGUCCACGCCCUAAACGAUGUCAACUAGUUGUUGGGGAUUCAUUUCCUUAGUAACGUAGCUAACGCGUGAAGUUGACCGCCUGGGGAGUACGGUCG
rnacentral:rRNA from 1 species